rnacentral:rRNA from 1 species
CAAUAGCGUAUAUUAAAGUUGCUGCAGUUAAAAAGCUCGUAGUUGGAUUUGUGGCGUACGGUGUGUUCCGGGCACUUGUUGUCUGAGUAACCUGCUGUUGCCAUCCUUGGGUGGAACCUGUGUGGCAUUAGGUUGUCGUGCAGGGGAUGCCCAUCAUUUACUGUGAAAAAAUUAGAGUGUUCAAAGCAGGCUUAUGCCGUUGAAUAUAUUAGCAUGGAAUAAUGAGAUAGGACUUUUUUGCUAUUUUGUUGGUUUGCGCAAAGAGGUAAUGAUUAAUAGGGACAGUUGGGGGUAUUCGUAUUCCAUUGUCAGAGGUGAAAUUCUUGGAUUUUUGGAAGACGAACUACUGCGAAAGCAUUUACCAAGGAUGUUUUCAUUAA